rnacentral:rRNA from 1 species
GGGAUAUUGCACAAUGGGGGAAACCCUGAUGCAGCGACGCCGCGUGUGGGAAGACGGUCUUCUGGAUUGUAAACCACUGUCCCCAGGGACGAAAAUGACAGUACCUGACCAAGAAGCCCCGGCUAACUACGUGCCAGCAGCCGCGGUAAUACGUAGGGGGCAAGCGUUAUCCGGAUUUACUGGGUGUAAAGGGAGCGUAGGUGGCAUGGCAAGCCAGAAGUGAAAACCCGGGGCUUAACCCCGCGGAUUGCUUUUGGAACUGUCAGGCUGGAGUGCAGGAGGGGCAGGCGGAAUUCCUGGUGUAGCGGUGAAAUGCGUAGAUAUCAGGAGGAACACCGGUGGCGAAGGCGGCCUGCUGGACUGUAACUGACACUGAGGCUCGAAAGCGUGGGGAGCAAACAG